rnacentral:rRNA from 1 species
AUUGAACGCUGGCGGCAGGCCUAACACAUGCAAGUCGAGCGAGCGGCGGACGGGUGAGUAAUGUAUGGGGACUGCCCGAUAGAGGGGGAUAACUACUGGAAACGGUGGCUAAUACCGCAUACUAUCGGAUAACCCAUAUGGGAUUAGCUAGUAGGUGGGGUAAAGGCUCACCUAGGCGACGAUCUCUAGCUGGUCUGAGAGGAUGAUUAGGCACACCUGGGCUGGGACACGGCCCAGACUCCUACGGGGGGAACAGGUGGGGAAAUUGGACAAAUGGCGCAAGCCUGAUGCAGCCCUGCCGGGGUGAAGGAGAAGGCCUUUAGGUUUUAAAGUACUUUCAAGCGGGGAGACUUACCCCCAGGAGGAGGACCGGCUAACUCCGUGCCAGCAGCCGCGGUAAUAC